rnacentral:rRNA from 1 species
AACGAACGCUGGCGGCAGGCCUAACACAUGCAAGUCGAGCGCACCUUCGGGUGAGCGGCGGACGGGUUAGUAACGCGUGGGAACGUGCCCUUCUCUAAGGAAUAGCCUCGGGAAACUGAGAGUAAUACCUUAUACGCCCUUCGGGGGAAAGAUUUAUCGGAGAAGGAUCGGCCCGCGUUAGAUUAGUUAGUUGGUGGGGUAACGGCCUACCAAGACUACGAUCUAUAGCUGGUUUGAGAGGAUGAUCAGCAACACUGGGACUGAGACACGGCCCAGACUCCUACGGGAGGCAGCAGUGGGGAAUCUUAGACAAUGGGCGCAAGCCUGAUCUAGCCAUGCCGCGUGAGUGACGAAGGCCCUAGGGUCGUAAAGCUCUUUCGCCAGAGAUGAUAAUGACAGUAUCUGGUAAAGAAACCCCGGCUAACUCCGUGCCAGCAGCCGCGGUAACACUACUG